GAAUUAGAAAGCUUUGUCUCAAGUUUAAUAAUUUGCCUGAGGUCACACAGCUGGUUAAUGGUUAACAUACUUCUCUGAUAAAGGUCACUAGAGGUUCUUAUGAAGAUACUUUUAGGUGGCAUAACAAAUGUGUUUAUGCAUAUUCAAGACACUCUUGUAUCCACAGGUUGCACUGCUGUGAUCCGUCAUCAUCUCCUAAAGAUGCAUCCUGACUUAUCUCCACACUUGCACACUGAAGAAUGCAACGUCUUGAUUAACUUGCUUAAGGAAUGUCACAAAAAUUACGUAGAAAACAGGACCAAGAGCAGGGAGCAUGGCAUUGCAAUGCGAAAGAAACUUUUUAAUCCUCCAGAGGAAUCCGAAAAAUAAAUUGUAUUUUCACUCGAUGCCUUGGCUGAGAGAAGACCUAAAGACUCUGGGUUGAUACCUGAAAGAAUCCUGUCUUAUUUGGUUUCCAUAAUCCUUUGAAUGGAAAGUGACCUGUGAGAGAUUGAACCGUGGAGAAAUAUGAAAACCCUGGAUUCUGAGUAUUUGUUGGGCAGGGCGUUUAGUACCGUCUCCCCUUUACCAGCAAACCUGACUUCACCAUGUUUAUUCCCUUUGCCUAUAACCAGUUAAUAUCUGAGUAACUUAUCUCCCUCAAUAAAAUAAUUCAUUUAAAUAA
rnacentral:sRNA from 1 species